rnacentral:lncRNA from 1 species
UUCACUUGCUUUUGUUUAGUCUUUGGAAUGAUGUAAGGCAAAUGUGACUCUCCUGGCCAUGUGAGGCGCACAGGCAUGCGACUUGUGAAGCCACCCAGGGAGCUGUGCUUACAAAGACAGUCACAAUUGCAACUUUCAUUGUCACGAAGAGAUGAACCAGCACCUCCUAAUUCACCCAAGCGGAAGCCAAAUGCAAACCCUAAGCAACCUGGAUUCAUUGCUCAUUGAAACAUUUUACGGAGGAACAUUUCUGCACUGACAACAGCUUUAAAUAUUUAAUUAGUGCUUUGAAGGAACAGAAGAGUCUGUGACGCAGAAGGGAAAUGAAAAGGAAAGCUUAGUCUCCAUUUAGUUAUGUUUCUCAUAAAUAUUUUCCCAGGGGCAAAGAUGUUCUCUUUAAUAUUAAAAAUACAAAUAAACACUUGACUUCUCAUUAGCCCA